CACGCCGCGUGAGCGAUGAAGGCCUUCGGGUCGUAAAGCUCUGUUGUUAGGGAAGAACAAGUACCAGAGUAACUGCUGGUACCUUGACGGUACCUAACCAGAAAGCCACGGCUAACUACGUGCCAGCAGCCGCGGUAAUACGUAGGUGGCAAGCGUUGUCCGGAAUUAUUGGGCGUAAAGCGCGCGCAGGCGGUCCUUUAAGUCUGAUGUGAAAGCCCACGGCUCAACCGUGGAGGGUCAUUGGAAACUGGGGGACUUGAGUACAGAAGAGGAAAGUGGAAUUCCACGUGUAGCGGUGAAAUGCGUAGAGAUGUGGAGGAACACCAGUGGCGAAGGCGACUUUCUGGUCUGUAACUGACGCUGAGGCGCGAAAGCGUGGGGAGCAAACAGGAUUAGAUACCCUGGUAGUCCACGCCGUAAACGAUGAGUGCUAAGUGUUAGAGGGUUUCCGCCCUUUAGUGCUGAAGUUAACGCAUUAAGCACUCCGCCUGGGGAGUACGGUCGCAAGACUGAAACUCAAAG
rnacentral:rRNA from 1 species